rnacentral:piRNA from 1 species
UAUAUUCAAUUACAAGUGUGUUGCAGC